UCUUCGUGAACAUAGCAGACUGCUCAGUAACACGUGGAUAACCUGCCCUUAGGACUGGCAUAACCCCGGGAAACUGGGGAUAAUUCCGGAUAGAUCAUAAAUGCUGGAAUGCUUUAUGAUUGAAAGGUUUCGACCGCCUUAGGAUGGAUCUGCGGCCUAUCAGGUUGUAGUGGGUGUAAUGUACCUACUAGCCUACGACGGGUACGGGUUGUGGAAGCAAGAGCCCGGAGAUGGAUUCUGAGACAUGAAUCCAGGCCCUACGGGGCGCAGCAGGCGCGAAAACUUUACAAUGCGGGAAACCGUGAUAAGGGAACACUGAGUGCUAGCAUUUAUGUUAGCUGUCCACAUGUGUAAAUAGCAUGUGAUAGCAAGGGCUGGGCAAGACCGGUGCCAGCCGCCGCGGUAACACCGGCAGCCCGAGUGGUGAUCACUAUUAUUGGGUCUAAAGGGUCCGUAGCCGGUUUAAUCAGUCUUCUGGGAAAUCUAAUCGCUUAACUAUUAGGCUUCCAGGGGAUACUGUUAGACUUGGGACCGGGAGAGGUAAGAGGUACUGCAGGGGUAGGAGUGAAAUCUUGUAAUCCCUGUGAGACCACCAGUGGCGAAGGCGUCUUACCAGAACGGGUCCGACGGUGAGGGACGAAAGCUGGGGGCACGAACCGGAUUAGAUACCCGGGUAGUCCCAGCUGUAAACGAUGCUCGUUAGGUGUCCGGAACGGUGCGACUGC
rnacentral:rRNA from 1 species